UGUGCACAUUAGGGCCCAUCUGACCAUA
rnacentral:piRNA from 1 species